AGCGACGGCGCCCCGGUCCCCGUCCAGGCGCGCCUCCGCCGCCGUGAGGCCGUCGCUGGACGAUUGGCGACCACCGUUCAGCUCGUCUCUCUCUCCUCUACCUCCUCCUAACUGUCGAUUGACAUGCAUCCACCACCUUCUUAAGAUCGAAAAUCCAAACCCUAACCUCCAAAUUCAAAUUCCGGCCAAAUCCCUUCUCCCCCGGCUAGUUCAAGCUUCUAGAAGGUAAUUUCACUUUUCCCUCUUCGUUUUCCAUCCCCGUUGAGCUUCGAUUUUCAGAAAUAGAGCCCUAAUCCGAAUUUCCUUUUUGGGUUCGAGGUUUGGUUUCCGGCAAGGGGUUGCGUUCUUGGGGUUUCGGUGAAUCUAUCGAACUCAGGCGAGCCUAGCAACGUUUGAUGGGUGCCCACUAUGCGCCUUGAAGGAGGCUUGGAGGCAGCUGUUACUGUUUCGGAGGGAGGCAGUGGCUUUGGGUGAUUGGCCGAGUGUCUUUAAUCUUGACUUUGUUCUCAGCGACUCUCCGAUUUGGUUUUAGCUCUACAUUCACGUUUUGAAUAGAUUGGAGGCCACUUUUGCUAGCAAUAGGCUGCCUUGCAUUGCAUAUAAGGGCAGCCUUCUCACUAAUAUUAUGAGAGCAAGAUGCAAUUAUGUUUCUACGAAGCUUGCUGAAAAACAGUCCAGAACCGAUGGCUAUAUUCAAGAUCAACUUUGAGGAGAAAAAGGCUAAUGAUGAAGAAAGAGUUGGCUGCAAGAAUCGGUUAGGUGCAUGUAUUGUGUCACUAUUGUACCUCUAGAGAAAGAUAAAACAGAUUCAGACAUCUUCCACCAAUGGCAUUUGUGAAGGAACCCGUUUCAGAACUUAAAUUUUUUAUCUAUUGUAG